rnacentral:lncRNA from 1 species
AGUUAUGACACAACACAAUGCCCUCACCAGAAGCAACCAGAGGCAGACCCUCGACCUUGGACUUCCCAGCAUCCAGAACUCAUAAGAUUUACCUUUAUUUUUUAAUAUUGGAGAACUUGCCAUGUAAAUCCUAACAUGUGGAUGAACUAAAUACCUGGGGAGUUCAUCAUCUCUCACAAACCAAAUCCAGAGAAAAAACUUCCUGACACAAGAAAAAAUUGCAGUUAAAUGGAAAAUAAAUAAAGCAAAUGAAAAUUGGAAUGUGGAGCAUUUUGCAUGCCAGAUAAGAAAGGGCAUGUGACAAAGGAGAGCCAUUUCUUCCAUUUGAGAUUGGAGGGGGAAGAGUCCAAGGCUAGAAUCAUGUGGCUGACCAGGCUCCUGGGACUUCCACAUCUGCACAAUGGAUCAUGCAAAGGUCUGCAGCUUCACUCCUGAGCCAGCGAGACCACGAACCUACCAGAAGGAAGAAACUCCGAACACAUCCCAACAUCAGAAGGAACAAACUCCAGACGCGCCACCUUAAGAGCUGUAACACUCACCGCGAGGGUCCGCUGCUUCAUUCUUGAAGUCAGUGAGACCAAGAACCCACCAAUUCCGGACACACUAUCCUGGGGGAGCAGCCUGGCCCUAAAAGAGACUUGUGCGUGACCCCAGGAGACCCACUGACAUGGAUCAGGAAACUGCUUUAGAAUCCCAGGAACAGGGCUACGACCAAACUCCGUACUCUCCCAUUUGCCUGUCAUGUGUCAGCAUCUCUGUAUUGUCACUGGUGUAUUAAAAAUCUUGGCCUAAACAAAACAAACAAACAAAAAUGAAAUCCUGCUGUUUACCUAGUUUAGCUGCAAGGACCAGAAAACUCAAAAUAACAGUGGCCUAAACAAGAUAGACAUGCAUUUCUAUCUUACCUAAAUGAAAUCAGUAGGUGUAAAAAGUCCACAACUGCUGUUACGGCAGUCUCAAAAAGUCCUCAAGGGUCUAGACUCAGCCUCCCUCUUCCCUCUUUGCCAUCACUGGAGUGGUCCAUGUUCCAGUCCACAAAGUGGGGAAAGAAAAAGGACAUGGUUUUCUCUUAGAAAAGGUGUGAGAAGCUGCGAAACAUUUCUGUUUACAUCUCAUUGGCCAGAAUGCAGUCACAAGAUCAAAAUCAUACCUAGCCACAGGGAAGCUGGAAAAACCUAGUCUCUCAGACGAAGGAGUGUCUUCGAGGGAAUGACAAACUGUAUCUGUCUACCAUGCUUGAAAUGCAAGAGUCCCGUCAGCUAGGGUUCAUUCUUGGGAACCACUUCAACUUGUCUUCUUCAGAGAAGCACUUCAGUGGGACCAGAGAGAACACUGCGCAUCCCAGGAUCGCAGCCACUGGACUCCAGCAACUCGAGGAAGAGGCAGCCAUUGAUACCAGACCUAGAAUUCACUAAAGGUCAAUGCCUUCAGGAAUUUUCAUCUGAUUUGAUGAUUGAUGCCCUCCGCAUCAUGAGCCCAGGAAGACUCCCAUGCCAUGUUCCAGCUGAGGCACCCAACAGCAAUGAUGUUUUGUGAAAAUAGUGUGUGAUUUGGAUGCAAAUGAUCCUGGGUUCAAGACUUGCUUCUGUAAAGAAGAGAAUACCACACUCUCCUCUCCCAGUCACGUGGGGAGUUAAUCGAAACCCACGGAAAGUGCAUUGCAUAAGGUGGGUGUCGGAUAAAUGCCCACACCUUUGGCUUCUCCUCUACUGAUAACUCUUUUUCCCUCAUCUUCCUGAUGUAAAAGGUGAGUGGGAGCCUUUAUGCCUUUCCCUGAAAGUAGAAGCCAGCCUCACCCCAGCCUGUGAGGCUGCUGAACCAGCCUCUUGCCCUUUCCUGCGUUUCUCAGGGCUUCCACCCUCCCCUCAGGCCCUUUCACCUCUCCAUGUCAUCUCUUUAUUCAGUUCUCCACCAAGCCUUCCCCGCUACCUUCAGGAAGCUUUGCAAACUGGCACGAAACCCUAAAUUCACAGUAUAGAGUCUGGAAUGCACUCCCCACUGCUUGGUGAUCCAUCAUACCAUACUGUUUUCUGCUUAUCUUUCUCUAAGACAACCUGUACCCUCAAUCUGGUGCCACUUAACAUGGCAAUAAGAGUGUAGUAAGUAGGGCCACUUCACAUGGGCUCAUUUAUGUAGAUGCUUGUUCUUUCAAGCUUGUCACCCCCAAUUCAGUAUCUACUACAGAUACAUUGACAGGGCUUGGAAAUUGACCAGAGUAUGAUCUUCCAUGCCUUCAAAUUGCUGUGUGGGGCUUCUGAGAAGACAAACUUUGGAAAUUGCCCCUCUUUUGCAGAGGAUUCAGCGGAACUCAGGAAUAUGCCAGUACCCACCUACCCUGUGGUAGCCAGCCUCUAAAAAAUAGUCUCCAGCGAUUUCUGGCUUCCAAUACUCACACUCUAAUAUGGUCCCCUCCCACACUGUAUCAGGGUUGGUGUGUAACCAGUAGAGUGCAGGAGGAGUGGUAGAUACCACUCUGGAAGAGAGACUAUGGAUGUCAUUUGGCCCUGUCUUGCUUUCCCUUGGAUCACUUGCUCUGGUGGAAGCCAGUGGCCAGUCUCAUGGACAGUUGGGCAGCCCAGUGGACGACCUAACAGUUCGACUGCCACUUCAUGGAAGACCCUGAGCCAGAACAAGUUAGUUAAGCUGCUCCCAGAUUCCUGACCCUCAGAAGCAGUGUGAAAGACAAAUACCAGACUGACACAUUUUUGGCAAGUUUUUGUGCAGCUAUAGAUAACUAACACAAACUUUCUAUUCCAAAUUACCACUACUUACCUCCCCCUGCAGAAAUGUCCACCACUUACAAAGGUAUAGCUGAAGCCCAUCUAAGGUGAGCCAAGUUUACUUAUAAUUGAAAACAAAUUAUAUGUACUUUAAAAGUAUUUGAGCACCAUUUUAUUGCCAAACAAUACACCCAACAAAGUCAAACAACCUAACUUCCCUUAACAAGAAUAUCAGGUUUGUCUAUAUUAUGAUUGGAAACAAACAUAAAUUAUAUUUGUUUUCCUAGACAGUCUAAGGUUUCAAUGGAUUGCUGUAAAAGAAUUUGAAGAAAGCUGCACCAACUGGUGUUUUGAAAUUCAAAUACCCUUAGUUUAAGCCACAAUAAAUGAAAUAAAACCAAUACAUGAAAUCAAACCA